UGAACUGGUGGUCCAGGUAUU
rnacentral:piRNA from 1 species